CCUACGGGAGGCAGCAGUGGGGAAUCUUGUGCAAUGGACGAAAGUCUGACACAGCCACGCCGCGUGCGGGAAGAAGGCCUUCGGGUUGUAAACCGCUUUCAGCAGGAACGAAAAUGACGGUACCUGCAGAAGAAGAUGCGGCCAACUACGUGCCAGCAGCCGCGGUGAUACGUAGGCAUCAAGCGUUGUCCGGAUUUAUUGGGCGUAAAGAGCUCGUAGGCGGUUCAGCAAGUCGGGUGUGAAAACUCUGGGCUUAACCCAGAGCCUGCACUCGAAACUGCUGUGACUAGAGUUCGGUAGGGGAGCAGGGAAUUCCUAGUGUAGCGGUGAAAUGCGCAGAUAUUAGGAGGAACACCAAUGGCGAAGGCACUGCUCUGGGCCGAUACUGACGCUGAGGAGCGAGAGCGUGGGUAGCAAACAGGAUUAGAUACCCUGGUAGUCCACGCCGUAAACGAUGGCACGUAGGUGUGGUCUACUAACCACGAGAUCUGCGCCGUCGCUACGACAUAAGUCGCCCGCCCGUCGGGAGGUACGGUCGCGAACGAACGUAAACCGUAACGAAGAAGUAGACGGCGUGAGACGUGACCGACGGACGACCGACGAGGGAGGAGG
rnacentral:rRNA from 1 species